rnacentral:tRNA from 1 species
GGGGAUGUAGCUCAGUGGUAGAGCGCAUGCUUUGCAUGUAUGAGGCCCCGGGUUCGAAACCCGGGCAUCUCCA